rnacentral:rRNA from 1 species
UACGUAGGGUGCAAGCGUUGUCCGGAAUUAUUGGGCGUAAAGAGCUCGUAGGCGGUCUGUUACGUCGGCUGUGAAAACCUAGGGCUCAACCCUGGGCCUGCAGCCGAUACGGGCAGACUAGAAUUCGGUAGGGGAGACUGGAAUUCCUGGUGUAGCGGUGAAAUGCGCAGAUAUCAGGAGGAACACCGGUGGCGAAGGCGGCAUCCUGGACCGGCAUUGACGCUGAGGCGCGAAAGCUAGGGGAGCAAACGGG